AACGAACGCUGGCGGCAUGCCUAACACAUGCAAGUCGAACGAGACCUUCGGGUCUAGUGGCGCACGGGUGCGUAACGCGUGGGAACCUGCCCUUAGGUUCGGAAUAACUCCCCGAAAGGGGUGCUAAUACCGGAUAAUGUCUUCGGACCAAAGAUUUAUCGCCUUUGGAUGGGCCCGCGUUGGAUUAGCUAGUUGGUAGGGUAAAAGCCUACCAAGGCGACGAUCCAUAGCUGGUCUGAGAGGAUGAUCAGCCACACUGGGACUGAGACACGGCCCAGACUCCUACGGGAGGCAGCAGUGGGGAAUAUUGGACAAGGGGCGAAAGCCUGAUCCAGCAAUGCCGCGUGAGUGAUGAAGGCCUUAGGGUUGGAAAGCUCUUUUACCCGGGAUGAUAAUGACAGUACCGGGAGAAUAAGCUCCGGCUAACUCCGUG
rnacentral:rRNA from 1 species